UACGGAGUGUGCGAGCGUUGUCCGGAAUCAUUGGGCGUAAAGGGCGCGUAGGUGGCGCAGCAAGCGUGCGGUGAAAGCUCGGGGCUCAACCCCGAGUCGGCCGUGCGAACUGCUGGGCUCGAGCACUGUAGAGGCAGGCGGAAUUCCGGGUGUAGCGGUGGAAUGCGUAGAGAUCCGGAAGAACACCGGUGGCGAAGGCGGCCUGCUGGGCAGUUGCUGACACUGAGGCGCGACAGCGUGGGGAGCAAACAGG
rnacentral:rRNA from 1 species